rnacentral:rRNA from 1 species
AUACGUAGGGGGCGAGCGUUGUCCGGAAUGAUUGGGCGUAAAGGGCGCGUAGGCGGCCCGGUAAGUCUGGAGUGAAAGUCCUGUUUUUAAGAUGGGAAUUGCUUUGGAUACUGUCGGGCUUGAGUGCAGGAGAGGUAAGUGGAAUUCCCAGUGUAGCGGUGAAAUGCGUAGAGAUUGGGAGGAACACCAGUGGCGAAGGCGACUUACGGGACUGCAACUGACGCUGAGGCGCGAAAGUGUGGGGAGCAAACAGGAUUAGAUACCCUGGUAGUCCACACUGUAAACGAUGAAUGCUAGGUGUAGGGGGUAUCGACCCCUUCUGUGCCGCAGUCAACACAAUAAGCAUUCCGCCUGGGGAGUACGGCCGCAAGGUUGAAACUCAAAGGAAUUGACGGGU